UCUGCGGGCUCUGGGGUAACGUCCGACGUGUGGAUGGGCAACACCACGAAGGCUUGUUGGAAGCUCUCACCACUGUUGCACUUGAUAUUGGUUGACCAGCAAUAUUCUCCAAGGGCUCCUGGGAUGAGAGAUGGUUGAGGACAAACGCAAUCACCACAGAGGAGCACAUCAGUGCCAUCACAGUGAUGAAGGCAAAGGACAUCUCGGAUCUCUGGAUGGACGAGCGGCGGCGGGCAAACUUGACAAACGGUGGUGGCUUCUUGCGAUGGCAGGUGUCGGGGUGGGAGUGACCAGACGGGCGGAUGCUGCUCAAGAUGACACUCAAGGACGGCGUGUGAAGGGAAGAAACAGAGAACCUGGCAAUAAGAUGAUAUGCGGAAAUCUGACAACAUGGAGAGCCAACAGGAAUAAAGCAGGAUAAAAAAAAAAAAAAAUCUGGUGACAAGAGCCAAA